UACGGGGGGAGCAAGCGUUGUUCGGAUUUACUGGGCGUAAAGGGCGCGUAGGCGGCCAGCACAAGUCAGUUGUGAAAUCUCCGAGCUUAACCCGGAAAGGUCAACUGAUACUGUGCGGCUAGAGUGCGGAAGGGGCAACUGGAAUUCUUGGUGUAGCGGUGAAAUGCGUAGAUAUCAAGAGGAACACCUGCGGCGAAGGCGGGUGCUGGGCCGACACUGACGCUGAGGCGCGAAAGCGUGGGGAGCGAACAGG
rnacentral:rRNA from 1 species